GAUGAACGCUGGCGGCGUGCCUAAUACAUGCAAGUCGAGCGAACAGACGAGGAGCUUGCUCCUCUGACGUUAGCGGCGGACGGGUGAGUAACACGUGGAUAACCUACCUAUAAGACUGGGAUAACUUCGGGAAACCGGAGCUAAUACCGGAUAAUAUAUUGAACCGCAUGGUUCAAUAGUGAAAGACGGUUUUGCUGUCACUUAUAGAUGGAUCCGCGCCGCAUUAGCUAGUUGGUAAGGUAACGGCUUACCAAGGCGACGAUGCGUAGCUGACCUGAGAGGAGGGUCAGGCAGACGUGAAAUUGAAAACGGGCCAGACGCCGAAGGGGGGGCGGAGGGAGGAAGAUUGGAGAAUGGGGGGAAACCUUAACGAACCAUAGCGGCUGGGGGAAGAAAGACUUUGGGAUCGAAAACCCGUGUUUUGAGGAAAAAAAACAACAGUAAAAAACCAUGCUCGUCGUAAGGGGACCAAAUAAGAAGGACAGGCUAACUUCCGU
rnacentral:rRNA from 1 species